rnacentral:rRNA from 1 species
GGGUUGUGAGGUUAAGCGACUAAGCGUACACGGUGGAUGCCCUGGCAGUCAGAGGCGAUGAAGGACGUGCUAAUCUGCGAUAAGCGUCGGUAAGGUGAUAUGAACCGUUAUAACCGGCGAUUUCCGAAUGGGGAAACCCAGUGUGAUUCGUCACACUAUCAUUAACUGAAUCCAUAGGUUAAUGAGGCGAACCGGGGGAACUGAAACAUCUAAGUACCCCGAGGAAAAGAAAUCAACCGAGAUUCCCCCAGUAGCGGCGAGCGAACGGGGAGCAGCCCAGAGCCUGAAUCAGUGUGUGUGUUAGUGGAAGCGUCUGGAAAGGCGCGCGAUACAGGGUGACAGCCCCGUACACAAAAAUGCACAUGCUGUGAGCUCGAUGAGUAGGGCGGGACACGUGGUAUCCUGUCUGAAUAUGGGGGGACCAUCCUCCAAGGCUAAAUACUCCUGACUGACCGAUAGUGAACCAGUACCGUGAGGGAAAGGCGAAAAGAACCCCGGCGAGGGGAGUGAAAAAGAACCUGAAACCGUGUACGUACAAGCAGUGGGAGCACGCUUAGGCGUGUGACUGCGUACCUUUUGUAUAAUGGGUCAGCGACUUAUAUUCUGUAGCAAGGUUAACCGAAUAGGGGAGCCGAAGGGAAACCGAGUCUUAACUGGGCGUUAAGUUGCAGGGUAUAGACCCGAAACCCGGUGAUCUAGCCAUGGGCAGGUUGAAGGUUGGGUAACACUAACUGGAGGACCGAACCGACUAAUGUUGAAAAAUUAGCGGAUGACUUGUGGCUGGGGGUGAAAGGCCAAUCAAACCGGGAGAUAGCUGGUUCUCCCCGAAAGCUAUUUAGGUAGCGCCUCGUGAAUUCAUCUCCGGGGGUAGAGCACUGUUUCGGCAAGGGGGUCAUCCCGACUUACCAACCCGAUGCAAACUGCGAAUACCGGAGAAUGUUAUCACGGGAGACACACGGCGGGUGCUAACGUCCGUCGUGAAGAGGGAAACAACCCAGACCGCCAGCUAAGGUCCCAAAGUCAUGGUUAAGUGGGAAACGAUGUGGGAAGGCCCAGACAGCCAGGAUGUUGGCUUAGAAGCAGCCAUCAUUUAAAGAAAGCGUAAUAGCUCACUGGUCGAGUCGGCCUGCGCGGAAGAUGUAACGGGGCUAAACCAUGCACCGAAGCUGCGGCAGCGACACUAUGUGUUGUUGGGUAGGGGAGCGUUCUGUAAGCCUGUGAAGGUGUACUGUGAGGUAUGCUGGAGGUAUCAGAAGUGCGAAUGCUGACAUAAGUAACGAUAAAGCGGGUGAAAAGCCCGCUCGCCGGAAGACCAAGGGUUCCUGUCCAACGUUAAUCGGGGCAGGGUGAGUCGACCCCUAAGGCGAGGCCGAAAGGCGUAGUCGAUGGGAAACAGGUUAAUAUUCCUGUACUUGGUGUUACUGCGAAGGGGGGACGGAGAAGGCUAUGUUGGCCGGGCGACGGUUGUCCCGGUUUAAGCGUGUAGGCUGGUUUUCCAGGCAAAUCCGGAAAAUCAAGGCUGAGGCGUGAUGACGAGGCACUACGGUGCUGAAGCAACAAAUGCCCUGCUUCCAGGAAAAGCCUCUAAGCAUCAGGUAACAUCAAAUCGUACCCCAAACCGACACAGGUGGUCAGGUAGAGAAUACCAAGGCGCUUGAGAGAACUCGGGUGAAGGAACUAGGCAAAAUGGUGCCGUAACUUCGGGAGAAGGCACGCUGAUAUGUAGGUGAAGUCCCUCGCGGAUGGAGCUGAAAUCAGUCGAAGAUACCAGCUGGCUGCAACUGUUUAUUAAAAACACAGCACUGUGCAAACACGAAAGUGGACGUAUACGGUGUGACGCCUGCCCGGUGCCGGAAGGUUAAUUGAUGGGGUCAGCGCAAGCGAAGCUCUUGAUCGAAGCCCCGGUAAACGGCGGCCGUAACUAUAACGGUCCUAAGGUAGCGAAAUUCCUUGUCGGGUAAGUUCCGACCUGCACGAAUGGCGUAAUGAUGGCCAGGCUGUCUCCACCCGAGACUCAGUGAAAUUGAACUCGCUGUGAAGAUGCAGUGUACCCGCGGCAAGACGGAAAGACCCCGUGAACCUUUACUAUAGCUUGACACUGAACAUUGAGCCUUGAUGUGUAGGAUAGGUGGGAGGCUUUGAAGUGUGGACGCCAGUCUGCAUGGAGCCGACCUUGAAAUACCACCCUUUAAUGUUUGAUGUUCUAACGUGGACCCGUAAUCCGGGUUGCGGACAGUGUCUGGUGGGUAGUUUGACUGGGGCGGUCUCCUCCUAAAGAGUAACGGAGGAGCACGAAGGUUGGCUAAUCCUGGUCGGACAUCAGGAGGUUAGUGCAAUGGCAUAAGCCAGCUUGACUGCGAGCGUGACGGCGCGAGCAGGUGCGAAAGCAGGUCAUAGUGAUCCGGUGGUUCUGAAUGGAAGGGCCAUCGCUCAACGGAUAAAAGGUACUCCGGGGAUAACAGGCUGAUACCGCCCAAGAGUUCAUAUCGACGGCGGUGUUUGGCACCUCGAUGUCGGCUCAUCACAUCCUGGGGCUGAAGUAGGUCCCAAGGGUAUGGCUGUUCGCCAUUUAAAGUGGUACGCGAGCUGGGUUUAGAACGUCGUGAGACAGUUCGGUCCCUAUCUGCCGUGGGCGCUGGAGAACUGAGGGGGGCUGCUCCUAGUACGAGAGGACCGGAGUGGACGCAUCACUGGUGUUCGGGUUGUCAUGCCAAUGGCACUGCCCGGUAGCUAAAUGCGGAAGAGAUAAGUGCUGAAAGCAUCUAAGCACGAAACUUGCCCCGAGAUGAGUUCUCCCUGACUCCUUGAGAGUCCUGAAGGAACGUUGAAGACGACGACGUUGAUAGGCCGGGUGUGUAAGCGCAGCGAUGCGUUGAGCUAACCGGUACUAAUGAACCGUGAGG